GGACAACCUACCCUAAGGAGGGGGAUAACCCCGGGAAACUGGGGAUAAUACCCCAUAGACUAGAGAAGCUGGAAUGCUCUCAAGUCCAAAGGUCCGCCGCCUUAGGAUGGGUCUGCGGUCGAUUAGGUUGUUGUUGGGGUAACGGCCCAACAAGCCCGUGAUCGAUACGGGUUGUGAGAGCAAGAGCCCGGAGAUGGAUUCUGAGACACGAAUCCAGGCCCUACGGGGCGCAGCAGGCGCGAAAACUUUACAAUGCGGGAAACCGUGAUAAGGGAACCCCGAGUGCCCGUAAAUUCGGGCUGUCCAUCAGCGUAAAUAACUGGUGAAGAAAGGGCCGGGCAAGACCGGUGCCAGCCGCCGCGGUAAUACCGGCGGCUCGAGUGGUGGCCACUAUUAUUGGGCUUAAAGCGUCCGUAGCUUGGUUGUUAAGUCUCUUGGGAAAUCUACCGGCUCAACCGGUAGGCGUUCAGGAGAUACUGGCAAUCUAGGGACCGGGAGAGGUGAGAGGUACUCCAGGGGUAGGAGUGAAAUCCUGUAAUCCUUGGGGGACCACCUGUGGCGAAGGCGUCUCACUAGAACGGCUCCGACAGUGAGGGACGAAAGCUGGGGGAGCAAACCGGAUUAGAUACCCGGGUAGUCCCAGCUGUAAACGAUGCGCGUUAGGUGUAUCGGUGACCACGAGUCACCGAGGUGCCGAAGGGAAACCGUGAAACGUGCCGCCUGGGAAGUACGGUCGCAAGGCUGAAACUUAA
rnacentral:rRNA from 2 species